rnacentral:rRNA from 1 species
UUGCCUACGGGAGGCUGCAGUGGGGAAUUUUGGACAAUGGGCGCAAGCCUGAUCCAGCAAUGCCGCGUGCAGGAAGAAGGCCUUCGGGUUGUAAACUGCUUUUGUACGGAACGAAACGGUCUGGGUUAAUACCCUGGGCUAAUGACGGUACCGUAAGAAUAAGCACCGGCUAACUACGUGCCAGCAGCCGCGGUAAUACGUAGGGUGCAAGCGUUAAUCGGAAUUACUGGGCGUAAAGCGUGCGCAGGCGGUUUUGUAAGACAGGCGUGAAAUCCCCGGGCUCAACCUGGGAAUUGCGCUUGUGACUGCAAGGCUGGAGUGCGGCAGAGGGGGAUGGAAUUCCGCGUGUAGCAGUGAAAUGCGUAGAUAUGCGGAGGAACACCGAUGGCGAAGGCAAUCCCCUGGGCCUGCACUGACGCUCAUGCACGAAAGCGUGGGGAGCAAACAGGAUUAGAUACCCGUGUAGUCAG